UCCGCUGUCAGUUAAAUUGUUGCUAGUAUGCUUAUGGUAGCUUCAAUUCCUAUAUUGUGAUCUUACGUUAUGUUGGUGAAAAUAUGAAACCUGUAUAAACCUAGGUCACAUAAUUUGCCCACUUAGGGUCCUGAACCCCGAUCUGUUACUGGAGGUGGCACUUUCAAAGCAAAAUACCUCAAAAUUGCGUACUCAGUUCGUGGACUUGUAUAACUGAAAUCGUGCAAUACCAAUGAGCUCAGGCUUUGACGAAUAACCCAAUGACAAGCUGCAUUCAUUAAUGUGGUCUUCUGGUAUAUGAAACCUUCACGGAGAGGAACUCAUUCAUGUUCGACGUUCAAAAAUGUAAAGAAGUGUGAACCCAUUACCUCUCACUCAUGUAAACAAUCAGAAUACCAGUUCAGCUCUAGUUUUUCUUAUGCAAGGGUAUUCAGCAACACUCACACACAUGCAUAGAUAUGUUUACUAGUGUUGGUCCGAUGCGAUGCACAAAUAAUCAAUUAUUGGAAUCCCUUACUCCCUCUGUCCCAAAAAGUUGGACACGUUCACUAUUCCACCCCUAUGAAAAAAUUGUCUAUAUCUUUUAGUCAGUAAUAUUUUUUUCUAAGCAAUAUGGAUCUUAUUUAAUUUCAAUUUGUUCUAGUAAACAGAGUUUUGAAAAUCACAUAAAACAUUAUGAAUUGAAAGAUAUAGGCAAUUUAAUAAUGGCACGCAAUCCUGAAAGUGUAACAUUACAGGACGGAGGGAGUAUAAAGAAAGCCUAAAAUUGUGUGUCCUAAUUAUUUGUCAAUUUUAUAUUUAGUUAGACCUACAAGAGUCACUUUAUAUGUGAGCAAGUGAAAAUGUAUAUGUUUGUUCAUUUAUCCUUGAUGAACCAUAUAAAACUUGAGCAUUUUUCUCAUAGAAUUAAUUGAGUUUCCUUGACACAAACUAUGCCUUGUUUGUAACACUAUAUUUCCAAUUUAAUUUCUUCUUCUUCUUCCUACUUGCCCCUUUGGGUUUAGCCUGUUUGGUUGUUAUGCUUCCAAGAGCCCAUUAUUGAUUUUUAAUUUUUGUUGGUGACUUUCUUAAUUCCUUGAAAAGGAACAUUACCCCUUGAGCUUCUCAAGACGAAUACUAUGCUAUGGUAAUUGUUGUUUGAAGAAAAGUGUUUACGGUUUGAUUAGCUAAGAUACGCGUGUUAUUGAUAUACAUAAUGAGAGUUAACAUUACGUAAAAAGAACUAAAAUACCCUCUCACUAAUACUUCACAACUCCUACCACUGCCCAUCAAUAUGGAGCAUGAAUAUCACCAAGUCCCAGCUUGUUACACAACAAGUCUAACCGUGGUUUUUGACGAUGAUUUAGUAAAUAUAUCAGCUAACUAGGCAGCCUUAGACACAAAUUGAGUAGCUACUACCCCGCUAGCUAACUUUUCUCGAACAAGAUGAUAGUUAAGGAAAUAUAGUCCACAUUGAUUGAGAGUGGAAAGGGUGAUCUCUUAAUUUACGUUGGGACCGCUCCACUCAUUGCUAACUGAUUUUGAGAUGGAUAUAAAGUUUCCACAUGGUAUCAAAGCGGGCCCAUUCCAUCCCAAAUUUUCUAACAAAAAUUAAAUCAAGUCCACACCCCAUGAUGACAAACCAAAAAGAGGUCGCAUGAUGAUAGCACCCAAAAAGUGGCCACACGUGACGUAGAAUAGUUGUCCCACAUUGCUUGGGUAUGGAAUUAGAGAUUUGGGACCUCUCCACUCAUUGCCAAUUGGUUUUGGGUUGGAUAGAAAGUUUCUACACGCCACAUGGUAUUAGAGCAUGGCCCAUUCCACCCCACAUUUUAAAAGUUCACAAUCCACACACCCCACAAUGACAGACCAGCAAAAGGUUGCACGAUGAUAGACCCAAAAAUAGGUUACAUGUGAGGGGGUGAUGUUAAGGAAAUAUAGUCCCUCAUUGCUUGGGAGUGGAAUGGGUGAUCACUUAAUAUAACAUUGGGACCUCUCACUUAUUGCCAAUUGAUUUUGAGUUGGAUAUAAAGUUUCCAUAGUUGUCAACUUCAAUAUGCUUGGUGAAGGCUGGGGUUGAGUUGCUGGUGGUAGGCGAUGGCUGGGGGUGGUCGAAGGAUCUGUUGGAAUGGUUGCCGGUGGUCGGUGAUGGCUGGCUGAACGUUUGCUGAGAUAUUGAUUGAGAGAGAAGGGUCUGCUGAGAUAUCGACCAAGGAUGAGAAAGGUUUUCUGAGAGAUUGACUGAGGUAUCAAACCUGUGCUGAUACCAUGUUAGGGUGCAAAGAAGAAGACGAGAAAGAAAAACAGAACGACUGAUUGUAUUACUGAUUCUGAUUAAUAGAUUGUACCACCCUAAUACUUGGUUAAAUAGAAAACAUAAUGUUUUCCUAGAAAGCAUAAAGACUAUCCUACCCUCCAGCGAGGAGAUACAAAAACUACCCUUAAAA